CAGUCGCCACGGAAUACGAGGGGGGCAAGCGUUGUUCGGAAUUAUUGGGCGUAAAGGGCGCGUAGGCGGUUUGGCAAGUUUGGUGUGAAAUCUUCGGGCUCAACUCGAAGUCUGCAUCGAAAACUGCCGGGCUUGAGUAUGGGAGAGGUGAGUGGAAUUUCCGGUGUAGCGGUGAAAUGCGUAGAUAUCGGAAGGAACACCUGUGGCGAAAGCGGCUCACUGGACCAUUUCUGACGCUGAUGCACGAAAGCUAGGGGAGCAAACAGGAUUAGAUACCCCCGUAGUCCCUGUCUCUUAUACA
rnacentral:rRNA from 1 species